rnacentral:rRNA from 1 species
GACGAACGCUGGCGGCGUGCUUAACACAUGCCAGUCGAACGGAAAGGCCCUGCUUUUGUGGGGUGCUCGAGUGGCGAACGGGUGAGUAACACGUGAGUAACCUGCCCUUGACUUUGGGAUAACUUCAGGAAACUGGGGCUAAUACCGGAUAGGAUCUCCUGCUGCCUGGUGGGGGUUGGAAAGUUUCGGCGGGUGGGGAUGGACUCGCGGCUUAUCAGCUUGUUGGUGGGGUAGUGGCUUACCCAGGCUUUGACGGGUAGCCGGCCUGAGAGGGUGACCGGCCACAUUGGGACUGAGAGACGGCCCAGACUCCUACGGGAGGCAGCAGUGGGGAAUAUGGCACAAUGGGCGGAAGCCUGAUGCAGCAACGCCGCGUGCGGGAUGACGGCCUUCGGGUUGUAAACCGCUUUCGCCUGUGACGAAGCGUGAGUGACGGUAAUGGGUAAAGAAGCACCGGCUAACUACGUG